rnacentral:rRNA from 1 species
AUUGAACGCUGGCGGCAGGCCUAACACAUGCAAGUCGAGCGGAGCGGCGGACGGGUGAGUAAUGACUAGGAAUCUGCCUGGUCGUGGGGGAUAACGUCCGGAAACGGGCGCUAAUACAGCAUACUCUCAGAUGAGCCUAGGCGGGAUUAGCUAGUUGGUGGGUUAAAGGCCUACCAAGGCGACGAUCCGUAGCUGGUCUGAGAGGAUGAUCAGUCACACGGGAACUGAGACACGGCCCAGAAUCCUACGGGAGGCAGCAGUAGGGAAUAUUCGACAAUGGGCGAAAGUCUGACCGAGCAACGCCGCGUGAGUGAAGAAGGCUUUCGGAUCGUAAAGCACUGUUAUUAGGGAAGCGGUAUCUAAACAGGAAGCCCCGGCUAACUACGUGCCAGCAGCCGCGGUAAUUC